CAGGAAGUGCUUGGUUUCGUCCCUCAGGUACAGCAAGAGACUUUAUUGGAGCUACUGCAAAAAAGAUAACUGGAGUAACAGGUGUGGCAAGAAAUUUGUUUAAAGCCUCAGCAAACAAGUUGUUUGGAACCUCAGUUGUGGAAAGCGAUUUGGUUAAAGGCUCAGUAAACAUGAUGUAUGGAGCUACAGCUGCGGCGGACAAAUAUAUUGGGGCUUCAGCUACAGUAAACAACUGGAUUGGGUCAGAUAAUAUUAAGGGAUUUACAAAAUUCAUAUCUCUAAGUGAACUCAACAAAAAAGCAAAUGGAUAUGUCAAAAAUAAUGCUAUAAUUAUGGAGGUCGAAAUUCAUGUUACCAGAAUUAGGACUUCCUAUUAGAUAAUUAACUUAUGGUUAAUAUAAAAUAAAAUAAAGAUCAAUUUCUUUGUUGUGGUUUAUUGUGCCUUUAAUAUAAAGUUGGCUUUAGAUUGUUAUUAUGUAUUUUAUUUGGGUGUGCUUAGUAUAAAUUUUCUUUGUAAUUCUUUUUUUAUAUAUUUCAAAUAAAGUUGG